rnacentral:misc_RNA from 1 species
AGCAGCCGCGGUAAUUCCAGCUCCAAUAGCGUAUAUUAAAGUUGUUGCAGUUAAAAGCUCGUAGUUGAAUUUCGGGGUUAGCAGGUCGGUCGUGCCAUCGGUAUGAACUGGUCUCGCUGAUCCCUCCCUCUUGACGAACUGUGAUGCCAUUAAUUUGGUGUCGCAGGGAAUCAGGACUGUUACUUUGAAAAAUUGAGUGUUUAAAGCAGGCUCACGCUUGAAUACAUUAGCAUGGAAUAAUGAAAUAGGACGUUUGAUCCUAUUUUGUUGGCUUCUAGGAUUGACGUAAUGAUUAAUAGGGAUAGUUGGGGGCAUUAGUAUUCAAUUGUCAGAGGUGAAAUUCUUGGAUUUAUUGAAGACUAACUACUGCGAAAGCAUUUGCCAAGGAUGUUUUCAUUAAUCAAGAACGAAAGUUAGGGGAUCGAAGACGAUCAGAUACCGUCGUAGUCUUAACCAUAAACUAUGCCGACUAGGGAUCGGAUGAUGUUAAUUUUUAAUGUACUUCU